rnacentral:lncRNA from 1 species
UAUUCAGAUCACUUCCUAAAGAAAGAAAGAACUAGAGACACGAAAGUCGUCUUAAAACCGAAUCGUUUCUAGCAAUUUUCUUAAAACCGACAUAUUCCAAGUCACAGUCCCAGGGUCGUCUUUAAGAUCGACCCGGAUUGUCGUUCAUUCCAAUCCUCGGAAGAAGAAACGUAUACUAUACUCGUAUACUCCCAAACUUCAAAAACUUUUGAUUCGUCAUCAAGAAAACGCUGUCGUCAAAGCAAACUCUCGCAGCAAUAGGCAGAAAAAUAUUUAGGCAAUACGAUGCCUCCAUAAAAUCG